UUCUGGUAUAUUACAAGGUAGGUAAGUGGAAAUGAAAGCCUAAGGUAAGGUCUUCAAUUUUUAUUUUUUUAACAAGAUCUUACUACGGAAAUCUUGUUGUCAAAGGUGAUUCUUGCAAUGUAAUCUCUUGGUAAGGCAAUUCUUGUCGUUGAGGCUAUUGUUUAUGUUUGAGUUAUCUUAUUUAGUUUACAUGUUAAACAUUUCAAUUGAUCACACUAGGGAGGGGCAGCAAACGAUAGUCAGACGCUUAUGCAAAGGUGAGUCUGUGCAGAGUUUAUAGAUUGGGAAUGCUUUCCUGCCUGUUUAGGCCUUGAUAUCUACCCUCUCAGAAGAUCCUUGUCAUCAAAUGGAAUGGACAACUACAAGCAGUGGUUCACCGUUAGCGAGGGUCAACUUGGAUUGUUACAAUCAUGUGAUGUGGGAAGAUCUUGGGGAUAUCUCCAAUCCACCUUGGGGCCUACCAUGAAUGAUUCAGAUCUCCAGGUGGGCUCCGCAUGCAAACCCUGACACAAACUCAAUUUAGCAUUUUAUGAUACCUUCCAAAAGCUUGAUGAUCUUCCAUACUCAUAUCCAGUGUUUGGACUGGUCCAUUUUAUAGGUGUAUUCUUGUUGUUCUUUUUUUU